CCUGAAAUUACAAUCAAUAAUUACGCCGCAUGUUA
rnacentral:sRNA from 1 species